GACGAACGCUGGCGGCGUGCUUAACACAUGCAAGUCGAACGGAAAGGCCCUGCUUUUGUGGGGUGCUCGAGUGGCGAACGGGUGAGUAACACGUGAGUAACCUGCCCUUGACUUUGGGGUAACUUCAGGAAACUGGGGCUAAUACCGGAUAGGAGCUCCUGCUGCAUGGUGGGGGUUGGAAAGUUUCGGCGGUUGGGGAUGGACUCGCGGCUUAUCAGCUUGUUGGUGGGGUAGUGGCUUACCAAGGCUUUGACGGGUAGCCGGCCUGAGAGGGUGACCGGCCACAUUGGGACUGAGAUACGGCCCAGACUCCUACGGGAGGCAGCAGUGGGGAAUAUUGCACAAUGGGCGGAAGCCUGAUGCAGCAACGCCGCGUGCGGGAUGACGGCCUUCGGGUUGUAAACAGCUUUCGCCUGUGACGAAGCGUGAGUGACGGUAAUGGGUAAAGAAGCACCGGCUAACUACGU
rnacentral:rRNA from 1 species